CCGCUAAGGACACCAUUGGUCAAGAAGUUUUGUCCUGUUGCUAACAUCAUACAAAAUGGCAAUAUAGAUGACAAGGAACUCAUUGAUAUAAUUGUUGAGGUGGUUGGAAACAAGCGAAGACAAAUUGUCUUUACUUUUGAAGAUUUGGACAAAAAUAGGGUGACCUGUAUUUUGUUUGGAACCCUGGUGGAUCAUAUUUUAU